UACCACAGAUGUGCUCCAGAAUCUUAGCGAACGAGUCGACAACGACACGAGUCACAUUCAAAACAAUUACAUCUGUCGCCGCUGACACUAUCUCCAGUCUCACUAAUAGAUAUAACACCCACUCUUAAGUUACUAAGUUGCAAGCGGAAGCGAUUUAGCUAACGGAAUACACAGGUGCGGUACCCUCGUCAAGCGGACAGUCCGAGUCGUGGCGUCAUCAAGUAAGCCCGCUGAUUUUGAUAUUUCGGAGAUUAUGAAGUUGAAUGUUGGCCCAUCACAAGAUUUUAGGUAUCAUAGCGACACGGUGCUUAGAACCGAGAUGUUGACAAUAAGAUGUUAUGAUCGGACGCACGAAUAAAAGCGGGCGAUUCUAAUUAUAAU